rnacentral:pre_miRNA from 1 species
GACUUCAACUGAAAACGUCAUUAACAACAAAGUUGUAUAAUCCAUCUAGAUCUACAAUUUUUAUUUUGGUCAUUUGUUCAUCCGACAAAGUGAUUUGUAACAUUGUUCACAAAAUAUAGAUAUUUUUAUAGGUAUCUACAUUUUGUGAACAAUAUUACUGUCGCUUUAUCGGAUGAAGAAAUGACCAAAAUAAAAGUUAUAGAUAUUGAUGAGUUUUACAACUUUGUUGUUGAUGACUUUUUCAGUUGAAAUC